GCCCCCGUAACUUCGGGAGAAGGGGGGCCCUGUCUGGUGACGACAUGUACUGUCUGAGCUGGGUGGGGCCGCAGAGACCAGUGAGAAGCGACUGUUUACUAAAAACACAGGUCCGUGCGAAGUCGUAAGACGAUGUAUACGGACUGACGCCUGCCCGGUGCUGGAAGGUUAAGAGGACCGGUUAGUUCCUUCGGGAGCGAAGCUGAGAAUUUAAGCCCCAGUAAACGGCGGUGGUAACUAUAACCAUCCUAAGGUAGCGAAAUUCCUUGUCGGGUAAGUUCCGACCUGCACGAAUGGCGUAACGACUUCUCAGCUGUCUCAACCGUAGACUCGGCGAAAUUGCAUUACGAGUAAAGAUGCUCGUUACGCGCGGCAGGACGAAAAGACCCCGGGACCUUCACUACAGCUUGGUAUUGGUGUUCGGUUCGGUUUGUGUAGGAUAGGUGGGAGACUGUGAAACGGGACGCCAGUUAUCGUGGAGUCGUUGUUGAAAUACCACUCUGAUCGAAUUGGACCUCUAACCUCGGACCAUGAUCUGGUUCAGGGACAGUGCCUGGUGGGUAGUUUAACUGGGGCGGUUGCCUCCCAAAAUGUAACGGAGGCGCCCAAAGGUUCCCUCAGCCUGGUUGGCAAUCAGGUGUCGAGUGCAAGUGCACAAGGGAGCUUGACUGUGAGACUGACAGGUCGAGCAGGGACGAAAGUCGGGACUAGUGAUCCGGCACCGGCAAGUGGAAGCGGUGUCGCUCAACGGAUAAAAGGUACCCCGGGGAUAACAGGCUGAUCUUCCCCAAGAGUCCAUAUCGACGGGAUGGUUUGGCACCUCGAUGUCGGCUCGUCGCAUCCUGGGGCUGGAGUAGGUCCCAAGGGUUGGGCUGUUCGCCCAUUAAAGCGGCACGCGAGCUGGGUUUAGAACGUCGUGAGACAGUUCGGUCUCUAUCCGCCGCGCGCGUUAGAAACUUGAGGAAGGCUGUCCCUAGUACGAGAGGACCGGGACGGACGAACCUCUGGUGUGCCAGUUGUUCCGCCAGGAGCACCGCUGGUUAGCUACGUUCGGAAGGGAUAACCGCUGAAAGCAUCUAAGCGGGAAGCCUGUUCCAAGAUGAGGUUUCUCACCCCCUCGAGGGGGUAAGGCCCCCGGCAGACCACCGGGUUGAUAGGCCAGAACUGGAAGUGCAGUAAUGCAUGCAGGUGACUGGUACUAAUAGGCCGAGGACUUACC
rnacentral:rRNA from 1 species